UAAGGCAUGCUCACUUCAAAAAUAUUGUUCCGGAGCAUGCACUGGAAAAUACUUUAGUCUUCCCUACAAAGGUUACUAUGGGAACUCUGAAAGGCUCCACUGGUAAAACAUUCCUUCUCCUGACUUCAGCAAGGGAGCAGGAGUGGACAGAUUAACCCUUAUACUGCUUAAUCCAAGCAGUACUUCUUAUAGUGGAUCCAAGAAGAUCCAGAUGCAGGAGGGGUCGAGCAAGAGGCCAAUGCAGCCGAUGAUGGCGCAGAAGAAGAGGCAGCAGAGCCUGCUGCAGCUGCAAGUCCUCCAGCACCUCCUCCACUGUCUCCAUCAGGAGAGGAAGAGGUAGUUGAAGCAGCAGCAGAUGCUGGUACACAGACGGAGGCCCACUACCACCACAACCUCCUACCUGUCCAGAUAACCACUCUUCACACCCUGGGGGUUCUGUUGAUUUCCACCUUAUUGGAAUUAUAGCUUUUGCCGCCUGUAAUAAAUGGAGGGUGUAAAACCCGCCUGGUCAGUGUGAAUAAGGUCCGGUGACUACCCAUGGCGAUUAAAUUACCUCGAAGGACGCACUUAAGAGUUUCCCACAAUGUUUUUGGAGAUACUUCUGUUGUAGCAUUAUUCAGUAUUAUUGUUUCUAUCCACUUUUGUAUUUGUUUAGUCCCGCCUUUUGUAUGUAAGAAAAACUCAUUAAAGCACUACAUAUAUUCUGCUUUUAGUGUUUUUGGUAUGGUAAAUUUUACUAUGAUUGGGGAGUGAUCUGAUAAUAAAAUAUUACCUAUAUCUGCUUUUAUAAAUAAUUUUAGCCAAUACUGAGACACAAAUAUGUAAUCAAUACGAGAAUAAACAGAAUGAACUUUCAAAAA